rnacentral:rRNA from 1 species
AACUUUCAACAACGGAUCUCUUGGCUCUCGCAUCGAUGAAGAACGCAGCGAAAUGCGAUAAGUAAUGUGAAUUGCAGAAUUCAGUGAAUCAUCGAAUUUUUGAACGCACCUUGCGCCCUUUGGUAUUCCGAAGGGCAUGCCUGUUUGAGUGUCAUG